AGGAUGAACGCUGGCGGCGUGCCUAACACAUGCAAGUCGAACGUCCUGUCUCGCAAGAGGCAGGGAGUGGCGGACGGGUGAGUACCACGUGGGUCAUCUACCGUGAGGUGAGGAAUACCGGCGAGAAAUCGCCGACAAGACCGCAUAGGCUCGAUGCAAGUCGAGCAAAGCUCUUUCGAGAGAGGGAGCGCCACACGAGGAGCCUGCGCCCGAUUAGCUAGCUGGUGGAGUAACGGUUCACCAGGGCGACGAUCGGUAGCUGGUCUGAGAGGACGAUCAGCCACACUGGGAUUGAGAACGGUCCAGACACCUACGGGGUGCAGCAGUUUCGAAUUCGAUUCACGGAAUCGGGC
rnacentral:rRNA from 1 species